UUCUUUUUUUUGUGUUUUUUGUUUUUAUUUUUAAUGUUUUGGAUUUUUUGAAGGUUUGAAUCUAAAAUAUACAAAUCUGGAAAAUAAGGAAAAGAAGACUUCUGAGAGAUUUUUGAUGGCUGAAAGGUACAUGGAAUUUUCAGGGAGUCUAAAACUUGUUAAUGAAGGCAUUGAGGUUGCCUUUUAUAGGCAACAAAUAGGGUAGAAUGUUCUAGAUGACACUCACACAUUUUUUCUCUUUUAAUUUCAGAUUUCACCUAUUAGUCCUUUAAUUUCUGACUUGUUUCUCAAGUUGCUGUCCUAAUUUUACUAAAUUAACACUAAACUCCUAUUCUAGAAGGCCCUACGGUGUUCUUUUAGCUAUACAAUACUUAUGCUACACCUAUCUUGAUUAUAAAAUUACUAUUCCUCAUAAAAUAACCCUUUUCUAUGUCUAAGCUAGCCUUAUUUACCACCUGAAACUACUAACUCCAGCUGACUACACCAAACCCCUUACCCUUGGCUAAAAUCUAACCAGAGUUAUUUAAAAAGGAUAAUAUAUUCAGCUAUAUCCAAACAACCUAUUUUAAACACUACCCUAAUUAACGCUAAUAUUGGAUUAACACUGAAUUAACAAUUAACAACUAACAUAAACUUAAUCAAAUCUGGGUCGAACCCAGAAGGACAAAACAAAUCAAAAUCAAACACUAAUAUUGGAUUAACACUGAAUUAACAAUUAACAACUAACAUAAACUAAAAAAAAUCUGGGUCGAACCGAGAGGACAACAAAUCAAAAUCAAUAUGAAAAAAUUAACACCUACUUUGAACAAAUUAAAAGUAAACUAAACUUUAUAGUACCGGACUUUAAACCUCUAACAAUGUUUUAUGGCUAACUAUUGAACAAGGUCAAAACCCAAAUUAAUCUUCAAACGAACAAGACAGGGAGAAAUCUAUCUAAACUAAAUAUUAAUCUAACCGAUUAAGCUAUUAAAUGAAGUAACGAAAGAGGAAAGAACUUAGAAUCGACCUAAUUAACGUACUAUAAAUGAACAGGACAGGGAGAAAUCUAUCUAAACUAAAGAUUAAUUGAACCGAUUAAGCUAUUAACAGAAGUAACGAAAGAGGAAAGAACUCCGAAUCGACCUAAUUAGCGUACUACUAAUAAACAAAGAAACUUGGACUACACUAACGAAGGUCAAACCAAAGAAGACGAGCAAAAGAAACCGAUAAAAUAAUAAAAACUAGAAGAGAAGACUCACCCAGGUUUCCAAAUAAAAUAUUAGACUAAUGAAUUAGUGAGCUUCGAAGAUGAUCAUGUAGAAAAUGUGUUUUUCAUUUCAUGAACAAGCUUACAUAGAUUCAAAAUGUGUACCUGGAAGGGGAUUUGAUAGAGGAAAGAGAUCAGAGCUUCGAAGAUGAUCAUGCAGCAAAUAUGUUUUUCUUUUCAUGAAGAAGUUUACAUCGAUUCCAAAUGUGUACCUGGAAAUGGAUUUGACAGAGGAAAGAGAUCAGUUACAAUAAACGGAUGAGCAGCAACACAAUAGUACUUGAAAACCCAGAAAAUAGAAGGAAUAGCCCGGAAACUAAUUGAAUACAGCAGGAUUAUAGAUGAUUCCAGUAGUAGAGAAAAACCAAAUCAAACCCCAAUAUUAUUUCAAAACCAAAUAGGACCGCAUAAUAAACACAAAAACAGUACCAGAAUGCUUAGAUAUUCAACACAAAUCUAAUCGACCAGCUACUAAAUACCUCCAGAUACCCUUGUAAUCCAAAAUCAAAGUAGAAGCAAAGAAAUUCAAAUAGAAGUUGAAAAUGAGUUAACUAGGCAAUGAAACAGUGAUAUAUUCUGAUUUUUUUUUGUGUUUUUUGUUUUUCUUUUUAAUGUUUUGGAUUUUUUGAAGGCUUGAAUCUAAUAAAUACAGAUCUGAAAAAUAAGGAAAAGAAGACUUCUGAGAGAUUUUUCAUGGCUGAAAGGUACAUGGAAUUUUCAGGGAGUCUAAAAUUGUUAAUGAAGGCAUUGAGGUUGCCUUUUAUAGGCAACAAAUAGGGUAGAAUGUUCUAGAUGACACUCACACAUUUUUUCUCUUUUAAUUUCAGAUUUCACGUAUUAGUCCUUAAAUUUCUGACUUGUUUCUCAAGUUACUGUCCUAAUUUUACUGAAUUAUACACUAAGCUCAUAUUCUUGAUGGCCCUACGCUGUUCUUUUAGCUAUACAAUACCUAUACUACCCCUAUCUUGAUUUUAAAAUUACUAUUCCUCAUAAAACAACCCUUUCUAUGUCUAAGCUACCCUUAUUUACCACCUGAAAUUACUAACUCCAGCUGACUACACCAAACCCCUUACCCUUGGCUAAAAUCUAACUAGUGUUAUUUAAAAAGGAUAAUGUAUUCAGCUAUAUCAAAACAACCUAUUUUCCUAAGCUACCCUUAUUUACCACCUGAAAUGACUAACUCCACCUUACUACACCAAACCCCUUACCCUUGGCUAAAAUCUAACUAGUGUUAUUUAAAAAGGAUAAUGUAUUCAGCUAUAUCAAAACAACAUAUUUUAAGCACUGCCCUAAUUCACACAAAUAUUGAAUUAACACUGAAUUAAUAAUUAACAACUAACAUAAACUGAAACAAAUCUGUGUCGAACCCAGAAGGGAAAAACAAAUAAAAAUCAAUAUGAACAAAUUAACACCUUCUUUGAACAAAUUAAAAGUAAACUAAUCUUUAUAGUACCGGACUUUAAACCUCUAACAACGUUAAAUGGCUAACUAUUGAACUAGGUCAAAACCCAAAUUAAUCUUCAAACGAACAGGACAGGGAGAAAUCUAUCUAAACUAAAUAUUAAUCAAACCGAUUAAGAUAUUAAAUAAAGUAACGAAAGAGGAAAGAACUUAUAAUCGACCUAAUUAACGUACUACUAAUUAACAAAGAAACAUGGACGACACUAACGAAGGUCAAACCAAAGAAGACGAGCAAAAGAAACUGAUAAAAUAAUAAAAACUAGAAGAGAAGACUCACCUAGAUUUCCGAAUAAAAUAUUAGACUAAUGAAUCAGUGAGCUUCGAAGAUGAUCUGGUAGCAAAUGUAUUUUUCAUUUCAUGAACGAGUUUACAUAGAUUCCAAAUAUGUACCUGGAAGGGGAUUUGAUAGAGGAAAGAAAUCGGUCAUAGUAAACAGAUGAGCAGCAGCACUGUAGUACUUAAAAACCCAGAAACUAGAGGGAAUAGCCCAUAAACAAAUUGAAUACUGCAGGAUUAGCAAUAGAUGAUUCCAGUAGUAGAGAAAAACCAAACCAAACCCCAGUAUUGUUUCAAAACCAAUUGGGACCUCAUAAUAAACCCAAAAACAGUACCAGAAUGCUUAGAUAUUCGACCCAAAUCUAAUCGACCAGCUACUAAAUGCCUCCAGAUGCCCUUGUAAACCAAAAUCAAUGUAGAAGCAAAGCAAUUCAAAUAGGAGCUGAAAAUGAGUUAACUAGGCAAUGACUGAUUUUUUUUGUGUUUUUUGUUUUUCUUUUUAAUGUUUUGGAUUUUUUGAAGGUUUGAAUCUAAAAACACAAAUCUGAAAAAUAAGGAAAAGAAGAAUUCUGAGAGAUUUUUGAUGGCUGAAAGGUACUGGGAAUUUUCAGGGAGUCUAAAACUCGUUUAUGAAGGCAUUGGGGUUUCCUUUUUUAGGCAACAAAUAGGGUAUAAUGUUCUAGAUGACACUCACACAUUUUUUCUCUUUUAAUUUCAGAUUUCACCUAUUAGUCCUUAAAUUUCUGACUUGUUUCUCAAGUUACUGUCCUAAUUUUACUGAAUUAUACACUAAGCUCAUAUUCUUGAUGGCCCUACGCUGUUCUUUUAGCUAUACAAUACCUAUACUACCCCUAUCUUUACUGAAUUGUACACUAAACUCCUAUUCUAGAAGGCCCUACAGUGUUCUUUUAGCUAUACAAUACCUAUACUACCCCUAUCUUGAUUUUAAAAUUACUAUUCCUCAUAAAACAACCCUUUUCUAUGUCUAAGCUACCCUUAUUUACCACCUGAAAUGACUAACUCCACCUUACUACACCAAACCCCUUACCCUUGGCUAAAAUCUAACUAGUGUUAUUUAAAAAGGAUAAUGUAUUCAGCUAUAUCAAAACAACAUAUUUUAAGCACUGCCCUAAUUCACACAAAUAUUGAAUUAACACUGAAUUAAUAAUUAACAACUAACAUAAACUGAAACAAAUCUGUGUCGAACCCAGUAACGCUAAUAUUGGAUUAACACUGAAUUAACAAUUAACAACUAACAUAAACUUAAUCAAAUCUGGGUCGAACCCAGAAGGACAAAACAAAUCAAAAUCAAUAUGAACAAAUUAACACCUUCUUUGAACAAAUUAAAAGUAAACUAAACUUUAUAGUACCGGACUUUAAACCUUUAACAAUGUUUUAUGGCUAACUAUUGAACAAGCUCAAAACCCAAAUUAAUCUUCAAAUGAUUAGGACAGGGAGAAAUCUAUCUAAACUAAAGUUAAUUAAGCUGACUAAACUAUUAACAGAAGUAACGAAAGAGGAAAGAACAUAGAAUCGACCUAAUGAACGUACUACUAAUUAACAAAGAAACAUGGACUACACUAACGAAGGUCAAACUAAAGAAGACGAGUAAAAGAAACUGAUAAAAUAAUAAAAACUAGAAGAGAAGACUCACCCAGGUUUCCAAAUAAAAUAUUAGACUAAUGAAUUAGUGAGCUUCGAAGAUGAUCAUGUAGAAAAUGUGUUUUUCAUUUCAUGAACAAGCUUACAUAGAUUCAAAAUGUGUACCUGGAAGGGGAUUUGAUUAGCUUCGAAGAUGAUCAUGCAGCAAAUGUGUUUUUCAUUUCAUGAAGGAGUUUACAUCGAUUCCAAAUGUGUACCUCGAAGGGGAUUUGACAGAGGAAAGAGAUCAGUUAUAGUAAACAGAUGAGCAGCAGCACAGUAGUACUUGAAAACCCAGAAAAAUAGAAGGAAUAGCCUAUAAACAAAUUGAAUACUGCAUGAUUAGCAACAGAUGAUUCCAGCAGUAGAGAAAAAGCAUACCAAACCCCAGUAGUACUUCAAAACCAAAUAGGACCGGAUAAUAAACCCAAAAUCAAUACCAGAAUGCUUAGAUAUUCGACCCAAAUCUAAUCGACCAGCUACUAAAUACCUCCGGAUACCCUUGUAAACCAAAAUCAAAGUAGAAGCAAAGUAAUUCAAAUAGGAGUUGAAAAUGAGUUAACUAGGCAAUGAAACAGUGAUAUAUUCUUUUUUUUUUUGUGUUUUUUGUUUUUCUUUUUAAUGUUUUGGAUUUUUUGAAGGUUUGAAUCUAAAAAAUACAGAUCUCAAAAUAAGGAAAAGAAGACUUCUAAGAGAUUUUUUAUGGCUGUAAGGUAAUGGGAAUUUUCAGGGAGUCUAAAACUUGUUAAUGAAGGAAUUGAGGUUGCCUUUUAUAGGCAACAAAUAUGUUAGAAUGUUCUAGAUGACACACACAUUUUUUCUCUUUUAAUUUCAGAUUUCACCUAUUAGUCCUUUAAUUUCUGACUUGUUUCUCAAGUUACU
rnacentral:lncRNA from 1 species